GACGAACCGUGCGAACGUUGUUCGGAUUCACUGGGCUUAAAGGGCGCGUAGGCGGACUCGCCAGUCUGUGGUGAAAGCCCCCAGCUCAACUGGGGAAGUGCCGUGGAUACUGCGAGUCUGGAGGAGGGUAGGGGCAUCUGGAACGCUGGGUGGAGCGGUGAAAUGCGUUGAUAUCCAGCGGAACUCCGGUGGCGAAGGCGAGGUGCUGGACCCUUUCUGACGCUGAGUGCGCGAAAGCCAGGGGAGCAAACGGG
rnacentral:rRNA from 1 species